rnacentral:tRNA from 1 species
AGGAAUGUAGCUCAGUUGGAAGAGCACUUGCCUACCAUGCAUGAAGACCAGGGUUUGAUCCCUAGCACCUC